AAGAGGUGGGAGCGCGAGCUGGGAGCAGCGUCUCGGAGGCGCCGCAGAAUUCACAGAUGGAUUCAGUGGAAAAGACAACAAAUAGAAGUGAACAAAAAUCCAGAAAGUUUUUAAAAAGCCUCAUCCGGAAACAGCCCCAGGAACUGCUCCUGGUUAUCGGGACUGGCGUCAGCGCAGCAGUGGCCCCGGGAAUCCCUGCGCUUUGUUCGUGGAGAAGCUGCAUCGAGGCUGUCAUCGAGGCUGCAGAGCAGCUGGAGGUGCUGCACCCUGGAGACGUCGCCGAGUUCCGGAGGAAAGUGACGAAGGACCGGGACCUGUUGGUUGUCGCCCAUGAUCUGAUCCGGAAGAUGUCACCUCGCACAGGCGACGCCAAGCCCAGCUUCUUCCAGGACUGCCUGAUGGAGGUGUUUGACAACCUGGAGCAGCACAUCCAGAGCCCUCUGGUGCUGCAGUCGAUCCUCAGCCUGAUGGACAGGGGCACCAUGGUCCUGACCACCAACUAUGACAACCUGCUGGAGAUCUUUGGCCAGCAGCAGAACAAGCCCAUGGAGUCUCUGGACUUGAAGGACAAGACCAAGGUAUGGGCUGGGGGUG
rnacentral:sRNA from 1 species